rnacentral:rRNA from 1 species
UACGUAGGGUGCAAGCGUUGUCCGGAAUUAUUGGGCGUAAAGAGCGUGUAGGCGGCCAGAUAAGUCCGCUGUGAAAUCUCGAGGCUCAACUUCGAGCUGUCGGUGGAAACUGUCUGGCUAGAGUCCGGAAGAGGAGAAUGGAAUUCCUGGUGUAGCGGUGAAAUUCGUAGAUAUCAAGCAGAACACCUGCGGCGAAGGCGGCCUUCUGGACGAUGACUGACGCUGAGACACGAAAGCGUGGGGAGCAAACAGG